CAUGUAAUCCCUCCGUCCAGAAAUACUUGUCAUCAAAAUGGAUAAAAGGAGAUGUAUCUAGAUGUAUUUUAGUUCUAGAUACAUCCUUUUUUUUCCAUUUUGAUGACAAGUAUUUUCGGACGGAGGGAGUAUAUU
rnacentral:pre_miRNA from 1 species